AGCCAUGAUGUGGGCAUGCAAGUAAAAGUUCCUUGAAACGUUCCCACUUCUGAAAGAAAGUUUCAUUCUCCUUUUAAGAUAAAUUCAUGAUGUUAUGUCUCAGGGU